rnacentral:tmRNA from 1 species
GGGGCCGACUGGUUUUGACAGCAUAGGGCAGGUUAAGUAAGCAUGUCGUGCGUUGUGUAAUUAGCACGUAAAUCUGAAUACCCAAACUUUUAAAUGGCGAAUCUAAUUACGCCAUGGCUGCCUAAUCAGAGAUUAGCGUAACCAUUUUGGCCGCAGACGGGCUUUUGCCUGUUGACGCUCCUGCCGCCUAACUCAUCCUUCAACAGGAUAGUCGUUUGUAGCUGUGUACAGGCGAUGAAACUAAAGCAGAUAAGAUAGUCCUGGUUCGCCCGGUUCCUAAGGCUAUACGAAAAUCAAUUCCGGGAUAAACAUGUAGAAAGCUUAUCGGGCAUAUGUUUGGACGCGGGUUCGAAUCCCGCCGGCUCCACUU